UACAGAGGUCUCAAGCGUUGUUCGGAUUUAUUGGGCGUAAAGGGCGCGUAGGCGGCGGGGUAAGUCGGGUGUGAAAUCUCAGGGCUCAACCCUGAAACUGCACUUGAUACUGCUCUGCUUGAGGACUGGAGAGGAGACUGGAAUUCACGGUGUAGCAGUGAAAUGCGUAGAUAUCGUGAGGAAGACCAGUGGCGAAGGCGGGUCUCUGGGCCGAUACUGACGCUGAGGAGCGAAAGCGUGGGGAGCGAACAGG
rnacentral:rRNA from 1 species